CCAGCUACUUAGAAGACUGAGGCAGGAGGAUUCAAGCGAUCCACCCGCCUCAGCCUCCCAAAGUGCUGGGAUUAUAAGCAUAAGCCACCGCGCCUGGCCCCUUGGGUGUUCUUGCUACAUUGACCCUAAAUGUUUGCUGUGGUCCGUGCUAGAUCAAACCCAGGCAUGAUUUUUAUCUGGAUUCGCCCCAGAGCUGUCUCCCAGACCCUGGCAUUUGCUGGCUCCAUUCAUUCCCUGGAGUUUCCUCGCUCCUCCACCCUCCACAAUUGCACCAGCAAACCUGCGCAGCUGGUUUGCCAGGGAGGAGCAAGACCUGUUUUCCCAUCUUAGGGCUCUUCUCGCUUCUGAUUUCAUAGGUGGUCAGAAAGUACAUGUAGGGUUUGAGGUGGGGACUGCUGGAAGAAGAGUGCGGGCAGGAGGUCAUUUUGACCGCAGCCUGCUUUGCAGACCCCAUAGCUGCUGGAAGGCCCUGGGACAGCAGCCCCACCCCCACCACUAACCACACCCUGGCCGCCUACCUGCGAUGCUUGUCUCCUAAUCAGCCUCCACCACCCACAGCAGCAUCCGGAUACAGAGUCACCGAGAUAGGAGCUCCUUUGGUGUGACUAAUGUUAGUCCCUUCUGUUACCCAGCCUAUCUCUGGUAUAAGUUUCCAGGCUCCUGCUAAAGUGCUCGGAGGGGCUGGGCACGGUGGCUCACAUCUGUAAUCCCAACACUUUGGGAGGCCAAGGUAGGUGGAUCACCUGAAGUCAGGAGUUCAAGACCAGCCUGGCCAACAUGGUGAAACCCCGUCUCUACUAAAAAUACAAAAAUUAGCUGGGCAUGGUGGUGUGGGCCUGUAAUCCCAGCUAUUCGGGAGGCUGAGGCAGGAGAACCACUUGAACCCUGGAGGGAGUGAUUGCAGUGAACCGAAAUCACUCCAUUGCACUCCAGCCUGGGCAACAAGAGUGAAACUCCGUCUCAAAA
rnacentral:lncRNA from 10 species